GGGGCGGUAGCUCAGCUGGGAGAGCGCUUGCAUGGCAUGCAAGAGGUCCGGGGUUCGAUCCCCCGUCGCUCCA
rnacentral:tRNA from 1 species